UGGGGUACGGCUCAGUGGUAGAGUACUUGCUCAGUAUGCACGAGGUCCUGGGUUCAAUCCCCAGUACCUCCA
rnacentral:tRNA from 1 species